CUUUAAGUUGAUCCAGUUGUGCUUCAUUUAUAAUUUAUGUAGAACCUCCUUAUUAUUGUGUUUUGCAGUUUCGAUCCUUAUCGGAUCAACUCUAUCAUUCUCCCAAUCACCAUAAGUUUGUAAGACAGCAGGUUGUUAACCAGCUCAAAUCCUAUCCUGAAACGUAUGGGGCUUAUGCUCCUAUGAAAUAUGGUGACUAUUUGAAGAAAAUGAGCAAGGACUGGUGAAUGGGGUGACCAUGUCACUUUGCAGGCAGCUGCAGAUUGGUAUGGCGUUAAGGUAUUCGUGAUCACUUCCUUUAAGGAUACUUGUUACAUUGAGACCCUUCCACAUGUUCAGAAGUCUGAACGACUUAUUUGCUUGAGCUUUUGGGCCGAAGUGCAUUACAAUUCAAUACAUCCAGAAGGAGGAUAUAUCAAGCAAGGAUUCGAGGAUUAAAAGUUUUAACUCCUCUUGGAUAUAUUGAGUUGUAAUGCACUUCUGCUCAAAAUAAUAAUUUAUAUCAAGAAAUUCAAGAUGGUGAUGAUAGUAAGGUUUCAGGCAGGAGGGUCUUCUUUUAGCAGUUUUGAAAACUGGAGGAAGAAGGUGGAUGGUGCUGAUAGCUCAUAACUCUUUGUGAUGCAGCCUGGACUCUCUGUGCAACAAGCAGAUAAUGAUCUAAUGGAAAUGAGGAAUGCUAGUACAAGCACUCUUUCCAGGAAUAUGUCAGUCGAAUGGUUUGGUAGAGGCUCAGAUGAUUCUGUUGGAUUAUCUGGUAAUGGUCUAGGUCCAAGGAGGAAGAGUUUCGCUGACAUUGUUCCGGGAGGAGUGGAUCGAAAUGCAUCCUUACCAGGCCACCCAUCACGCCCUUCAAGUUGUAACUCAUUUUGUGAUAUGGUAGAUACAACUGGUGUAUCUGAUUUCCAUUCAGCUGGGUUAUGUAAUGGAUUGCAGGCUGUAGAGACAUUGCACUCUGUAGCAGCUGCCCCUGCGUGGAUGGGAGUUCAGAGCCAUGGCACAACUGAUUCCCAUUUGUUGGCAUCUGCUGUAGGUUCAUCAUGAUCAAGGAGUACGACCCCCAAACCAGCUAGUUGGGAAAUCUCUUGGUCCUGGCCUUCCUCCUGUGGGAAGCAGAGUUGGAGCUACUGAAAA